rnacentral:tmRNA from 1 species
GCCGCUCUGCGGCUAUGGCGAUAAACGGCUUCGAAAUAAGCUCUUCGGACCCGGGGGCGGUACCCGGCGCCUCCACCA